UAAAAUUGGCUACAAACCACGUCAGUGGUUAUAAAAGCGACGUCUUAAGGCAUCUAAUACGGUGGUAAUCCAAAACAUAUUUCAAAAACACGUCGGUUGACAAGAAGAACCGACGUGCAUCCAAAACACGCUCAACACUGUUUCAGUCAAGUUGUCACUCUCAGCUUUACCACCAAAAACUAAAGUUGUCUUUCUCAACCUAAUUUUUCACGCCCCGCUCAAUGUUCUAAGUUUCCCUCUCCGUGAAAAUUCCCUUCCCUCUCGAUGAAGCCCUCUCUCCCUAUCUGAGUUCAAACCCUCUCUCUCUCUCUCUCUCCCUCUCUAUGACAUCUCUGCACCUAAACCCUCUCUCCCCAGCUCAAUCUUUUCUAAGCCGACUCUCACAUCUCAGAGAGACAGAGGCAACGAGGAGGUGGACUUCGGUGUCGGCUUCGUCACGAGGAUUGACUUCGGCGCCUUCUUCUGGAUCUUCGUCGGCGCCAUCUUCUUGAUAGUCGUCAUCGCAGGUAACUUCUCUUCGAGGUCCAGAGAGCGAAUCAGAAAGAGAGUCGAAAAGGUGAUGGCCAUUGGUGUCAUCGACAGAGUGAACGUCGUCAUCGCGCUCGUCGCGGUCACGGUCAUCACGGUCCUAGCCUUUUAGAGAAGAAGAUCGACAAAGAGGUUUCAUUUCAUUUUCCUCGACUCUCCGACGCCGACCCCAACCCCAAAUCCAAAUCCUAUCUUCGAUCUCGGACCUCAAGGAUCUUGUGGACUUGCUGGAAUUGAAAAUGCCUCUCAUCUAUAAUAUCCAUAGACAGCAGGGGAGUGGCUGGACCAAGAUUCCAUAGAGGACUUGGGGUUUUACAAUUUAACUGGGGAAUCCCACAAUCCAUGAGUGGUUUAAAUUUAAUUCACUUGUAAGGAUGAUACUGCAGUUGUUCUCAAGUCAAGGCUGAGGCAUCUAUUUUAUUGUUGGUGGACCACAUAUUCAACAAUAUUUUUUGACACUUGAAUUUCUGUGACUGUCCACCCUUGCCAUUUCAUUUCUUAACUUCAUGUUUUGUAAUGAUUUUCCUCAGGUAAUUUCUAAACUACAGUACCUUGACCUUUGGGGGAGUAAAAUAUCCGACCAAGGUAGUUGCUGGAUUAGCAGCUGAUGGAAGGCAAAUUGUUGGCAGGACCAAGUCUGAAGCUAACAACUAUGAAAGCCUACAUGAUAGUAUAUAUGUCAUUAACUUUCUCUCCGAAUCUCUCUCUCAGUAAAGCAGGUUUAUGUUUAAGAGUAUUGGGGUCCAGGUCCUUUCGACACCACCAACUUGAAAAAUGUUUGCAAGAAGGCAGAGCUAAGUCAACCCAAUAACAAAUUGAUGAAGUUAAGAUUAGUAGAAUUUGUGAGGUCCAUUAUUUCUGAUUAUAGGUAGGAAGUAUGUAUGUAAUAGAAUAAAGAUUGGUUGACUAUGUAAUAACUAUUGAAUCUUCAAGUUUUAUGAAAGAAAUAAUUUUUGA